AGAGUUUGAUCCUGGCUCAGAACGAACGCUGGCGGCGUGCCUAACACAUGCAAGUCGAACGAGAAGUACGUAGCAAUACGUAUUGUAAAGUGGCGCACGGGUGAGUAACACGUGGGUAAUCUGCCCUUGAGUUUGGGAUAACCCCGCGAAAGCGGGGCUAAUACCGGAUAAGACCACGGGGACCAAAGUCCCUGAGGUAAAAGGUGGCCUCUAUUUAUAAGCUACCACUUGAGGAUGAGCCCGCGGCCCAUUAGCUAGUUGGUGAGGUAACGGCCCACCAAGGCGAUGAUGGGUAGCUGGUCUGAGAGGACGAUCAGCCACACUGGAACUGAGACACGGUCCAGACUCCUACGGGAGGCAGCAGUGGGGAAUAUUGCGCAAUGGGCGAAAGCCUGACGCAGCAACGCCGCGUGGGGGAUGAAGGUUCUCGGAUUGUAAACCCCUUUCGAUCGGAACGAAUUCCCUCCUGGUAAAUAAUCAGGAGGAUCGACGGUACCGGGAGAAGAAGCCACGGCUAACUCUGUGCCAGCAGCCGCGGUAAGACAGAGGUGGCGAGCGUUGUUCGGAUUUAUUGGGCGUAAAGCGAACGCAGGUGGUUUGGUAAGUCAGGGGUGAAAGACCACAGCUUAACUGUGGCACUGCCUUUGAUACUGCCUUUCUAGAGUGCAUGAGGGGGAAGCGGAAUUCCGAGUGUAGAGGUGAAAUCCGUAGAUAUUAGGAGGAACACCGGUGGCGAAGGCGGCUACCUGGACCGAUAUUGACGCUGAGACGCGAAAGCGUGGGUAGCAAACAGGAUUAGAUACCCUGGUAGUCC
rnacentral:rRNA from 1 species